UACGGAGGGUGCAAGCGUUAAUCGGAAUUACUGGGCGUAAAGCGCACGCAGGCGGCCUGUCCAGUCGGGUGUGAAAUCCCCGGGCUCAACCCGGGAACUGCAUCUGGAACUGGCAGACUAGAGUCUUGUAGAGGGGGGUAGAAUUCCCGGUGUAGCGGUGAAAUGCGUAGAGAUCUGGAGGAAUACCGGUGGCGAAGGCGGCCCCCUGGACAGAGACUGACACUCAGGUGCGAAAGCGUGGGGAGCAAACAGG
rnacentral:rRNA from 1 species